UCCAGGAUGGCCGAAUGGUUAUGGCGUCUGGUUCUUAACUUGAUUACUUGUGGGUUCGAGUCCCACUCCUGGCU